CUUUGAAGAGGGAGCCUUGAAGGUUCCAUCAGGGUUAGAUGCAACUGAGCAUGUUGAAGGUCUUGUCAAGGAAAGCUAGGAAGAAGGUGGUCCCACCAGAUGGGGUGAAGCUGGUAGAUGUGUCGUUGCUGAGGCAGACGCAGCUCCGAUCGCUCAGUAAAUCUGACACCAAACUGCAUGAACUCCACAGGGUGAAGUGCACUUCUGAGCACCAAAGACCAGCCAGCGUGGAUUUCCUUUAUCCAUCAGGGUCUUUGGGGGAUGGAGAAGGAGCUGUGCAUAGCUCGAGCUUCAGCAUCCUGCUGCACCGAGAGCUGCCCCAGAUCCCCCAUUCCAACCCUUCGGCUGAUGCCCUGAGUCCUGACCAGACCUACUCAAACCUGUCCUUCUUAGCCCCACUAAAACCAGCCCCGGAGGCGCUGUAUGAGUGUGCGGCCAUGACUCAGGAAGAGCCUCAGCCAAUGCCUGUCUUGGGAACCCCUCUAAGUGAGGAGGACAAGGCAGUGACGGCUGAGUACGCCUGUGUCCGCAAGGUGAAGAAGAAUUUCCAGCCAGAGCUCCAGGAUGAGACACAGGGCGAAUCCUCCGUGGGGACGGCAGACCCAGAAGCCUGGGAAGGAGCUGCCUGUAACCCUGCAGCGGUGAAGGUAGAAGAAAUGUACUCGACUGUGUGCAAAGCUGGCAAGAAGAAGAAACACCAAGGCUCUGCUCUGUCCCCUUCUGAAGGAAUGGACACUAGGGAGACAGGCCAAGGAGAACAGGGGUGGCCAGCUGCCCAUCUCAGAGAUGUCAGGGCGGGGUAUCAGUCCACACCGGGUCGAGUCUUACUCACUGAGCCCUGCUAUGAGUCGAUCAGUGAUGGAUCCUGGACUGAGCAUGGCAGGAACCCAGUCCCAGAACCGGCCUACGAGGCAGUAGAUGUCAACUGGAAAAAGCCCAAGAGAAGGGAUAAGUCUACCAAGAACUGCCCUGCCGAGAACUUGUAUGAAAGCAUCAGUGAAAUGUGGGAAGGGGACUCUAGGAACACAGCUACCCUGGCGGCUCCCAAUGGGUUGGAGAUAUACGUAACAGACUGAUAACCCCUUAUGUCUAGCUGCCCCCUUCCUGGGAAGGUCUGUGCUCCUCCACUGAGACCUCCAGCUGUCUCAGGUCUCAGCCACAUGGCGAGGCACAACAAGAACAUCCAACACCACAACAGUAAAUACUAAAAACAUCAACCCGCUCUAAACCCUCCUGCCUCAGGUCUCAGGCCAGCCUGUCACUAACAGGAGUUAAACUUUCCCUGCGGGCUGGGUAUCCCAAUGCUCCUUCUGCAGAACGCCUCACACCUUCCUCUGAAGCAGCUGGUGCUGGGUGUUGUCCGAGGCAGUUCACUGGACUCGGUGGACCUAUGGUGGCCUGAACUACAGGCAAAAGAAUUGAGUAAUUCUAAUGGGUUUGGCAUUGGUUGAGGGUUGUGCCCAUUCUAGGGGGCACAGACACCCAGAUCAGGUGCCUCUCUUCCCUGAGUCUUUAUGCAGGGUCCAGUAAAGCUGGGCACAGAAACCUAGGUAAGGAAAGGGGCAGCUGAGUUAAUAAAGAGGAAUCUCCCGUAUGUAUUUUAAUCCUG
ensembl:lncRNA